AACGUACGCUGGCGGCACGCCUAACACAUGCAAGUCGAACGAAGUAGCAAUACUUAGUGGCAGACGGGUGAGUAACAUGUAGGUAUCUGCCCUUUGGCCUGGAAUAACACGAGGAAACUUGUGCUAAUACCGGAUAAGUCUUUACGGAGAAAGCUUUAUGCACCAUUGGAUGAGCCUGCACUUGAUUAGUUUGUUGGUGGGGUAAUGGCCUACCAAGACUGUGAUCAAUAGCUGAUUUGAGAGGAUGAUCAGCCACAUUGGGACUGAGACACGGCCCAAACUCCUACGGGAGGCAGCAGUGGGGAAUCUUGCACAAUGGAGGAAACUCUGAUGCAGCGAUGCCGCGUGAGUGAAGAAAGCCCUUGGGUUGUAAAGCUCUUUCGUCGGGGAAGAAAAUGACUGUACCCGAAUAAGAAGGUCCGGCUAACUUCGUGCCAGCAGCCGCGGUAAUACGAAGGGACCUAGCGUAGUUCGGAAUUACUGGGCUUAAAGAGUUCGUAGGUGGUUGAAAAAGUUAGUGGUGAAAUCCCAGAGCUUAACUCUGGAACUGCCAUUAAAACUUUUCAGCUAGAGUAUGAUAGAGGAAAGCAGAAUUUCUAGUGUAGAGGUGAAAUUCGUAGAUAUUAGAAAGAAUACCAAUUGCGAAGGCAGCUUUCUGGAUCAUUACUGACACUGAGGAACGAAAGCAUGGGUAGCGAAGAGGAUUAGAUACCCUCGUAGUCCAUGCCGUAAACGAUGUGUGUUAGACGUUGGAAAUUUAUUUUCAGUGUCGCAGGGAAACCGAUAAACACACCGCCUGGGGAGUACGACCGCAAGGUUAAAACUCAAAUGAAUUGACGGGGACCCGCACAAGUAGUGGAGCAUGUGGUUUAAUUCGAAGAUACGCGCAGAACCUUACCAACACUUGACAUGUUCGUCGCGACUCUAAGAGAUUAGAGUUUUCGGUUCGGCCGGACGAAACACAGGUGCUGCAUGGCUGUCGUCAGCUCGUGUCGUGAGAUGUUGGGUUAAGUCCCGCAACGAGCGCAACCCUCACUUUUAGUUGCCAUCAUUAAGUUGGGCACUCUGAAAGAACUGCCAGUGAUAAGCUGGAGGAAGGUGGGGAUGACGUCAAGUCCUCAUGGCCCUUACGUGUUGGGCUACGCACGUGCUACAAUGGUAUCUACAACAGGAAGCAAGACUGCGAAGUUAAGCAAAUCCCUAAAAGAUACCUCAGUUCGGAUUGCACUCUGCAACUCGAGUGCAUGAAGCUGGAAUUACUAGUAAUCGUGGAUCAGCGUGCCACGGUGAAUGCGUUCCCGGGUCU
rnacentral:rRNA from 1 species